AGUUCUGUCUUGUUAGGAAUAACCUACACAUUAAUGUAAAUACGGUUUUUAGCACGAUUUAUAUACGACGAGUAUUCUACAUACAAACUGUUUUUAUUGUCCGUUAUAGAAAAACAAAUUUGAAAAUGAGCAAAAACGCAAAAGACAUGGGAGAUGGGGAUCUUCUGAAGAUUCAUGUCACUCAUUGCCGCGGAUGAUCGUUUGGAAAGCGGUUCAAGGAUCUGAAGAAGGACCUUGAACAACGUUUCCCAAAUCAAUUGGAGAUUACGUUUGAAAAGACGCCUACUAAAACGGGAGACUUUGAAGUGCAAAUUGUGGGGGGACCACUUCUCCAUUC